rnacentral:lncRNA from 1 species
GUCAAGUAUCAGAAAUCUGACCUGUCCCUCCCCAACCCCCCCAGUCAAUAAUCACAUUAGCACAUCUGUGUGACAGAAAUAAUAGCUUUUGUCUACCAAAGCUGCACAGUCCUGUUGCCAAGCAACUCGGUCCUGAGGCAACAAACCCGAGAGGAAUGGGUGUGUGGGAGGACCGAGCCCAGCGCAGGAGCUGCUGCUUGUGCUGCUGAUGAUGAAUGAUGGAAGAGAGAGAUUAAAUGCCUUCUAGUGAGAACAAAUCUUUUGCAGAGCCAGCACGGAACACACAUUAUUUGAUUCCCUUUUCAGCACCCGAGCCAUGAGAUCAUUCUGCUCCUGUACUGACAUUAAGGAAAUAACCGUAAAUGGGACCAUGACAAGACUGCAAAGUUUUUGUGUUUUGACAAUCACCUGGAGAAAAAUAUCUGGUAAUCUACACUCAGACAAAAGGAUGGAAAAUUCAUCAUCUCGGAAACCAGCAUGGUGGUACCUACAGAAGCACAUGAGAUACGUCAAGGAUGCACAACAUGAAGAGACAACUCAUUUUCAGAGAUGACAGCAUGAGGAGCUCCGUUGAGGCUUCCUGGAGCAGGUUUGGCACAUUCUCCUGACUUGGUCAUGGCUCCAGCACUCUCCCAAGUGUGCAUCUGUCACGGUCCUCCCAUGCCAGUAACACUUUUACACUGGGUGUUGAUUGCACCUGCAUGUUUUCCUGCAACAAGAAAAACUGUACGUUUUAAGUGGCUUUUUACUUUCUCAGUGUUUCAAAGAACACGGGGAUAAAAUUAUAAUAAUAAUAAU